AGGUUUUAUUUCUCCUAUGCUGCAAACCAGAAAAGUAGCCGCAACCCUACUUUAUGCAAACCUCUCUCCGCUGCUGAAAUCGGCAGCUUGUUGGUAUUUUAUGUUUACUAAUCAACCAGAGUUGAUUGGAACGCUUGAUUCGAGUUCUAUCAUUUUUGUAUGAUCCACAAGUAAUGGAUUCCGUUGUGAAAGUGUUUGAAUAUCUUAAAAUCCAAUUGGAAGAGUUAAAAAAGGUUAUUAGAGCCGUGGAUUUGGAAAUGUGUAUGAAGGAUAGGCUGCUCACUCUAAGGGCCGAAACAGGGUUGCUAUUAAGCGUAUUGAAUCAUGAAUUUGAACAAUGAGACCCUGAGUUUUGGAAGGAGAUCAUGAUGCUUUUCCGUUACAUUCCUUAGAAUUUUACAUCUUUAUCUCUCUUCUUGGAUUUUGUGACGAGGAUGGUGAUUUUGUGACGAGGAUGGUGAGAAGAUACUUGUUUACGAGUAUGCAUCUAACGGAAUCCGAAACCAUUACUUAAACUCCAUUAUUUAACAUGGACACAACGUCUCAAGAUAUGCCGUAAUAAUGGGCUAGUCUACCUUCAUAGUUGAUGAUAUCAAAAACAAGAUGUAUUUAUUAGUUAAAUAAUUUGAUGUUUUGUAUAAACGAGUUUAAGUAAUUCUUUGUAAAUAAAAUAAAUUUUAUCUAUUUUGGUCAA